rnacentral:rRNA from 1 species
GAUGAACGCUGGCGGCGUGCUUAACACAUGCAAGUCGAACGAAGCGCUUUGGAGUUUUCGGACAAAGAAGUGACUGAGUGGCGGACGGGUGAGUAACGCGUGGGUAACCUGCCUUAUACAGGGGGAUAACAGUUAGAAAUGACUGCUAAUACCGCAUAAGCCGAUAGAGUCGCAUGACUUAGUCGGAAAAGAUUUAUCGGUAUAAGAUGGACCCGCGUCUGAUUAGCUAGUUGGUGAGGUAAUGGCCCACCAAGGCGACGAUCAGUAGCCGGCUUGAGAGAGUGAACGGCCACAUUGGGACUGAGACACGGCCCAAACUCCUACGGGUGGCAG